rnacentral:rRNA from 1 species
UUCCGGUUGAUCCUGCCGGACCUGACUGCUAUCGGAUUGAUACUAAGCCAUGCGAGUCUUUGUAGUAAUACAAGGCAGACGGCUCAGUAACACGUAGUCAAUCUACCCUAUGGACGGGGAUAACCUCGGGAAACUGAGAAUAAUACCCGACAGAUCAUUAUACCUGGAAUGGUUUAUGGUUCAAAUGAUUUUUCGCCAUAGGAUGGGACUGCGGUCUAUCAGCUUGUUGGUGAGGUAAUGGCCCACCAAGGCUGUAACAGAUACGGGCUCUGAGAGGAGAAGCCCGGANAUGGGUACUGAGACACGGACCCAGGCCCUAUGGGGCGCAGCAGGCGAGAAAACUUUGCAAUGUGCGAAAGCACGACAAGGUUAAUCCGAGUGUUUUCUGCUAAAGAAAUCUUUUGUUAGUUCUAAAACCACUAUCGAAUAAGGGGUGGGCAAGUUCUGGUGUCAGCCGCCGCGGUAAAACCAGCACCUCAAGUGGUCAGGAGGAUUAUUGGGCCUAAAGCAUCCGUAGCCUGCUUUGUAAGUUUCCGGUUAAAUCCAUUAGCUCAACUGAUGGGCCGCCGGAAAAACUGCAAAGCUAGGGAGUGGGAGAGGUAGACGGUACUCGGUAGGAAGGGGUAAAAUCCUUUGAUCUAUUGAUGACCACCUGUGGCGAAGGCGGUCUACCAGAACACGUUCGACGGUGAGGGAUGAAAGCUGGGGGAGCAAACCGGAUUAGAUACCCGGGUAGUCCCAGCUGUAAACUAUGCAAACUCAGUGAUGCAUUGGCUUGUGGCCAGUGCAGUGCCGCAGAGAAGUCGUUAAGUUUGCCGCCUGGGAAGUACGUACGCAAGUAUGAAACUUAAAGGAAUUGGCGGGGGAGCACCACAAGGGGUGAAGCCUGCGGUUCAAUUGGAUUCAACGCCGGGA